AGUGAACGCUGGCGGUAGGCCUAACACAUGCAAGUCGAACGGCAGCACAGGAGAGCUUGCUCUCUGGGUGGCGAGUGGCGGACGGGUGAGGAAUACAUCGGAAUCUACCUUGUCGUGGGGGAUAACGUGGGGAAACUUACGCUAAUACCGCAUACGACCUUCGGGUGAAAGUGGGGGACCGCAAGGCCUCACGCGAUUAGAUGAGCCGAUGUCGGAUGAGCUAGUUGGCGGGGUAAAAGCCCACCAAGGCGACGAUCCGUAGCUGGUCUGAAGGGAUGAUCAGCCACACUGGAACUGAGACACGGUCCAGACUCCUACGGGAGGCAGCAGUGGGGAAUAUUGGACCAUGGGCGCAAGCCUGAUCCAGCCAUACCGCGUGGGUGAAGAAGGCCUUCGGGUUGUAAAGCCCUUUUGUUGGGAAAGAAAUCUUGCCGGUUAAUACCUGGCGAGGAUGACGGUACCCAAAGAAUAAGCACCGGCUAACUUCGUGCCAGCCGCCGCAGUAAUAC
rnacentral:rRNA from 1 species